UUCUAUUAAUGUCUAAAUAUAAAGUCCAAUCCAACUAAAAAUAAAAGGGUACUCUACUCGACCCACUCCACUUAGCCCAUCCGGCCCGAUUACAAACAGAAAAGAAAAAGAAAAGAAAAAGAAAAGAAAAUUCGAUUAUCAUUUUUCCUUUUCCCGUCACUCAAUCGACUGAAAUCCUAAACGAAGAUCAUUUCCUCUUGUCCUCCUCCGCCACCGUAGCCAACGAGGUAGAGUUCCGGCGGUUGCUAGAUGUUUAAAUAAAUAUUGGUAAAUUAGCAGCACUCUUUUAGAUUAUAGCAACACUCUUUAACUGUCACUAUAUAUCUAGCGACCCCACAUGUAGCAACACUUUUCAAAUGUGUCGGUAAAUUUAGCCGGCAGCACUUUUUUGACCUAUACCGACAUUUAAAAGUGUCGCUAUAGACCGUNCACUACAACAGAAUUAGGUUAUAGCGACACAUGUUUGGGACACUUUUUUAUAUGUGUCACGUUUAUGUCAAAACUUAAAAAAAUUCUAUUAAUGUCUAAAUAUAAAGUCCAAUCCAACUAAAAAUAAAAGGGUACUCUACUCGACCCACUCCACUUAGCCCAUCCGGCCCGAUUACAAACAGAAAAGAAAAAGAAAAGAAAAAGAAAAGAAAAUUCGAUUAUCAUUUUUCCUUUUCCCGUCACUCAAUCGACUGAAAUCCUAAACGAAGAUCAUUUCCUCUUGUCCUCCUCCGCCACCGUAGCCAACGAGGUAGAGUUCCGGCGGUUGCUAGAUGUUUAAAUAAAUAUUGGUAAAUUAGCAGCACUCUUUUAGAUUAUAGCAACACUCUUUAACUGUCACUAUAUAUCUAGCGACCCCACAUGUAGCAACACUUUUCAAAUGUGUCGGUAAAUUUAGCCGGCAGCACUUUUUUGACCUAUACCGACAUUUAAAAGUGUCGCUAUAGACCGUUUUUGUUGUAGUGUUAAGACAAC
rnacentral:lncRNA from 1 species